GGCUCUCCACCUGCUGACCUCCACGGCUCCAUCUGUGCCCCGCCAGGUCCUAGACCGCGUAUAUGGCCCCCGCCGCCAUCUCGGGUCCGGGCACCUCGGGUGUGGCCGCCCCCAGUCGGGCGGUGGAGGGCAGCCAGGUAGCUGGGAAGGCGGGGUCGGGCGGGCUGGUGCCGGCCACCAUGUCCGCCAGGAUGCGGCCGCACGUGAAGGUGCGGGUCAUGCCGUGGCCGCUGAAGCCGGCAGCCAGGAACUGCGGGGGGACAGGGCGGAGGAGGCAGCGGGAAAGGCGGCGGCGGCAGGGCCGGCAGGGGCGGCAGGGGCAGAGGAACUAAGGUAAGUAGGGGCAUGGGGCGGUUCAGGGGCGGUCAUGAGCGUUACGCGAGUCUGUGGUGUGUUGAUUUUUGGGCCCCCUUCAGUCCCCUUCAGCCUCCUUCAGUCCCACACGCACCCAACGCCCACAUAUGCGCCCACGCACGCGCCCGCACCCACCUGGCCGCGGCGGCCCGGCACCGGCCCCACGAAUGGGAAGCGGUCCUGUGUGAAGCCCAGGAUGCCGCUCCACUCCGCCUCCGUGGCCAGCCGCGACCCACCGCCGCCGCCACCACCCGCCGCCGCCGCCGCGCCCUUGAAGGCGUCCGGGAAGUGCUGCGGCAGGUAGGCGUGCAGCGCUGCCGACACCUGGGGGUCCAGCGCGCCGUCGUCCCACACGCCCCACUCCAGCCCGGGCGCCACGUCGCGGAAGCCGCCCAGCACCACACGCCCGUCCUCGCGCUUGGACCUGGGCAAGGGGGGGAGGCGGAGGGAGGCAGGGGGAGAGGGAGAAGCGGGAGAAGCGGGAGAGGGGGAUGCAUGUCAGGGGAAAGGGGAGAGGCGCAGGAGGCUGCAUGUCGGGGUGGUCUGGCUCGGGAGGCGGAGGGCGGAGAGGGACCGGGGUACACGAGGCAGUGCGGGCUGGCGCAGGUGAGGUGCAGGUGAGGUGCUGGUGGUGGUCUGAUGCGAAGUGGAGUGAAGGUACCGAGGAGCACUGCUGCUGCCCGGUGCCUGGUGCGCACGUGUGCACUACUGAACAACUGGCCACCUCACCCACCCGCAUCAUCUAGCCCGCCGGCCCCCCGCGCCUGCCACCCGUGGCUCACCAGUACACGAACCCGCCCCGGGCGUAGAAGGCGGCGUCCAGCGGCAGGUCGGGACCGCCCGCGGAGGGCGGCUGGGUGGCUGCAGAGGAGGAGGAGGAGGAGGGACAGGAGGGGGCGGGAAGAGUUGUGAAGGGGUUUGGCACCGUACCGUGUGGCGGCAGUGUGCAGUGGAGCCCCCAGCCAUGCCACGCCGCACCCUCCUCCCCACUUGUCCCCACCGCCGUACAGUUGGCGCCGCCCCUGCUCCUCCUCCCGCGCGCCUCCCCCUCGCUCUUGUGCAUUGGGUUCGGCGCUGUUUGGGCUGGCUUCUACAAACCACACACACACACACACACACACACACACACACACACACACACACACACAUCGCCCCUGUCCCUGCCCCUGCCCCCGCCCCUGCCCCUGCCCCCCGCCUCACCCGCCACGUGGUUGCGCACCGGCACCAGCGCCCCCCUCAGCUCCGGCAGCAGCGCGGAGCCGUAGGCGUUGGUGCAGUGCAGCACACGCCGCGCCAACACGCUGGAGCCGCAGGCGGUGCUCACCUGCAGCAGGCAGCAGGCAGCAGGGCGGGUGGGGGCGCGGUGUUGGGGGCGCGGUGGGUGGGGGGCGGGGGGGAAGGGAGGGGCAAGGAGGGGACGGGUGGAGUGCAAUGCGGAUGAGUGUAGGGUGGGUUGAUGUCAGGCAGGCGGUUGUUGUGAGCAGCAGGCGUGUCACGUGCUCCGGUGCGUGCAUAUGCGUGCUGCCCCGUGCGGCGCUGACCGGGUAGGCCGCUGUUGGGUCCUGUGCUGGGCCACCCCACACACACACAGCCACCCACCCACCCACCCACCCACCUUGAGCAGGGGCGUGGCACUGGGGUCCAGGGCCUCAGAGCACAGCGAGGCCUGUGGGGCAGCGAGGGGAGGGGGUGGGUGGGAUGGGAGCAGCGAUGAGUGAGGUGUGCGUGUGGGCCCAGCACUGGGUUGCCUGCACACACCUGCGCCCGCUCCACAGCCCGUGGCCCCACCAGCCCCACAAUCUUUCCCGCCCGCCACUCACCGACAGAGCCGCAGGCGAGGGCUUACCGCCGCCGCCGCCGCCUGCCCGCCCCAUGGGCACGAUGUUGUUGGAGCUGCUGCUGCUGCCCGCCCCUGCCGCCCCCUCCCCCUCCUCCUGGUCCAUCCAGGCGCACACCUCGUCCAGGGCCGGCAGCGCCUCGCCCUCAGCCAGCGGCGCCACACCCGACACACGCACGCCCUCAGCGAUGGUGAGACCCGCCGCUGGCCCCGCCUCCGCCGCCAUCCGCGCAAGCGCCGCCACCAGCCGCGCCGCCCACACACGCGCCACACCCGGCUGCCGCACCGCGCCGGCGUAGGCGUCAGUGCGCAGUAGGGCGCGGGUCUGGGCGCGGCUGAGGGGCUGCACGUCGGUGUGGAUGCCGAACUGGCGGGAGGAAACAGGAGCAGGUGAAUGCAGCGGCGGGGGGGCCGGGUAAGGGGAGGGGCGCGGUGGGCGAGGGGGAUGCAGGAGCCGGUAAGCACGUUUAGCUGCCGGGGCGGUGAGCGCGAACUCGGGACGGCUGCAGAUGUGUGCUUUGGUCCACCCAACAUACUUGACUACCACACAAGGAUCAACACGCGCACACAAACACACGAUUGUGCUCACUAUCACACGGCAAUCACACACAUGCACGCCCACUCCCCCCCCCCUACCUGCUGCAUGAGCCCCAGCUCCGCUAGCUCCGCCUCCAUCUCGCCGGGCGUGUCGUACACGUAGUAGGCGCCGUCCGCGAAGGGCGAGUAACGCACCUGCAGGGACAGCGGGAGGCGGGGCAGGGCGGGAUGGAGGCCAGUGUGAGGGCAGGAGAAAGCGGGAGCGGUCAGAGCGAAGAGCACCUCCUCCCUGCCCCCUUUCCGCCUCAUACAGAAUCCUCCUUCCUACACAACGGCCAUCACCCUGACUCCCACUGCUCCCACUCCUCCCCCGCAACCCCCCACGCACCCGCCCCCUCACCUCCUCCUCCAGCUUGUUGUGCCUGAUGAAGUCGGUGACCUCGCGCAGGCACUGCAGCUCGAACGCCAUCAUGCGCUGCACCUCGGCGGGGCCGUAGCGGGCGGCGGUCUUGAGCCACGGCGCGUUGAGGCUGGGGGCAGGACAGGUGGGGCAGGAGGAGGCAGGGUGAUGCGAGGGGAGAGGAGGGGGCGCAGGCAAGGAGUGGCAGAUGGCACGGAAAGGAUGAGGUGGGCGACAAGACGUCAGGGCGAAAGCACCAGCCGAUGUGACAAAUGCACCGCACCGGCCGACGUGACACACGCAACUGCACCUUGUGUCCCCCCUCCCCCCCCCCCACACACACAGGCGCCCCCCCCGCCCGCCAUCCCCACUGCACCACUCACGCCGGCCACAGCAGUCCGCCGUUGCGCCCCGUGGCGCCGUGACUCAGCUGCCUCGCCUCCAGCAACACAACCUGGAGGCGGGAAGGGAAGGCAAGGUUGCGAGUGGGAAGAUGCGGGUACAUGCCUACGUGGCAAGCGCGCUCGCGCGUGUCCUCUUCGCUCAGUCACUGGAUGCGCGACCGCCUCUGCCCCUCCACGCCCUCCCUCGCUGCCCCCACCUGCAGCUCGGGCCGGCUCUUACGCAGGUGGUAGGCGGUGCUGACGCCCGCAAUGCCGCCGCCAAUGAUCACCACGUCGGCUGCGGCGGGCAGCUGCGCGGGGGCGGCGGCCGGCUGCCGAGCGGGGGCGGGCGGGCGGGGCGGGGCGUGCCGGGGGGCUGCGGCGGGUGUGAAGUUCUUGAGCCAGUAGGAGGUGGUGGGGGCGGCCACAGGGGUGGGCGCGGAGGUGGCGGCGUGGGGGGCCGCGGAGCCGGGCGGCGGCGUGUGCGGCAGUGUCAUGGUGUGGGCGGUCUUGAGUGAGGCGGUGGUGAUAGGUCACGCGAAGAGAGCAAUGAGUGAUGGCCACAGGAUCCCAGGUUUAAGGGCCUGCGGUGGAGGUGUGCGGGAGGGGCGCUCGAGUUAGGCAGGGACGUCGCGGGCAGAGGCGGAGCCGCGUGAUUGGAGUUCAAGUGUUGGCGGAGGUGUGGGAACUUGCUUGGAGGUGCCGACGGUUGGCUCCAGCCUUCGAAAAUUUGGACCAAAACAACCUAGCAAAACCAACAGGAGCCGCCUCGCGUCGCCGGAGUUGUCGGGCGCGAAGCCCGUCGCUUGCUCCGACUCGACUCUUGACGCGGCAAUGUCGUCAGACGCGGCAAGAGUAGUCUAGUCGCUGCCCCCUUAAACGCGGUCACGGCCCUGGCGCCCACUCAAGGCACUAUUGUACCUGGAACUAGACCCCAGCGACGGCGGUCUUGUCAACGCUCGCGCUCGAGGCAAGCGCGCGACCCUAGGACUUCGGUUCCCGACUUUCUCUCUGUGGCCGCCCUUCCCGCCUUUCCAAUGGCACUUACCUCUUUGAUAGCGUUGACUGAUAACCGACGUCACUAGAAAUUGCGUAAAGACACUAGUGUCGACUGAGCUGCACGGAAAAGACCUAGUUGCUGACUAGCGG
rnacentral:lncRNA from 1 species